ensembl:lncRNA
CUGGGCUAGACAAUCUGGACCCCUACAAAUCAGCUGGGCUAGACAAUCUGGACCCCUACAAAUCAGCUGGGCUAGACAAUCUGGACCCCUACAAAUCAGCUGGGCUAGACAAUCUGGACCCCUACAAAUCAGCUGGCCUAGACAAUCUGGACCUCUACAAAUCAGCUGGGCUAGACAAUCUGGACUCUCUCUUUCUAAAAUUAUCUGCCGCAUUUGUUGCAACCCUUAUUACUAGCCUGUUCAACCUCUCUUUCGUAUUGUCUGAGAUCCCUAAAGAUUGGAAAGCUGCCUCGGACAUCACUCUAGACCCAAACUGUUACAGACCCAUAUCUAUCCUGCUCUGCCUUUCUAAAGUCUUUGAAAGCCAAGUGAACAAACAGAUCACCGACCAUUUCGAAUCCCACCGUACCUUCUCCUCUAUGUAGUCUGGUUUCUGAGCUGGUCAUGGAUGCCCCUCAGCCACGCUCAAGGUCCUAAACGAUAUCAUAACUGCCAUCGAUAAAAGACUCCUUGCUCGCACACGCUUUUUCAGUUCUGCCCACACAUUAUCUAUAGGAUUGAGGUCAGGGCUUUGUGAUGGCCACUCCAAUACCUUGACUUUAUUGUCCUUAAGCCAUUUUGCCACAACUUUGGAAGUAUGCUUGGGGUCAUUGUCCAUUUGGAAGACCCACUUGCGACCAAGCUUUAACUUUAACUGAUGUCUUGAGAUGUUGCUUCAAUAUAUCUACAUAUUUUCCUAACUCAUGAUGCCAUCUAUUUUCUGAAGUGCACCAGUCCCUCCUGCAGCAAAGCACCCCCACAACAUGAUGCUGCCACCCUCGUGCUUCACGGUUGGGAUGGUGUUCUUUCGCUUGCAAGCCUAGAAGGCCCGCAACCCGGAGUCACCUCUUCACUGUUGACAUUGAGACGGGUGUUUUGUGGGUACUAUUUAAUGAAGCUGCCAGUUGAGGACUUGUGAGGCGUCUGUUUCUCAAUCUAGACACUCUAAUGUACUUCUCCUCUUGCUCAAGAAUAGUAUAAGAUUUUCAGAAACAAAGUCCUGAUGCUGAGUAUCUGAUGCUCCAGAUUGUCACGCCCUGGCCUUAGUAUUUUGUGUUUUCUUUAUUAUUUUGGUCAGGCCAGGGUGUGACAUGGGUGAUUUAUGUGGUUUGUUUUGUCUAGGGGUUUUGUAGUUUAUGAAAACCGUAACACAGAUACUCAGCUAGUCUAAAGAAGGCCAGUUUUAUUGCUUCUUUAAUCAGGACAACAGUUUUAAGCUGCGCUAACAUAACUGCAAAAGUAUUUUCUUAUGAUCAAUUAGCCUUUUAAAAUUAUAAACUAGGAUUAACUAACACAACGUGCCAUUGAAACACAGGAGUGAUGGUUGCUGAUAAUGGGCCUCUGUGCGCCUAUGUAGAUGUCCCAUUAAAAAUCAGCCUUUUACAAUACUCAUUUACAAGGACAAUUCUAUGUGACCCCAAACUUUGAACAGGAGUGUAUGUUUUGAGCAGAAUAGUUUUUUCUUUGACACAACUGCAAACUUCAAGGUGUAGGGCAUUCAGGGAGUUGGUCUGAUGGUGACUUUGGGUUGUCAUCGGCCUCCCUCCUUACUUGUGCCACAUCAUGAGGAUACCUAUUAAGAUGUGCCUCUUGACAAGUAUAUCAGGUGUUAAAUGAGGUGAAAAGAAAAUUGGGGUAGGACUUUAAGCUAGACUGGAUACUCCCAGUUAGUCUGUCAGAGAGGUGUUGGUUGAAAGAGGCAUUAAUAUUGAAAGCCUUGGGUCUUUAGUGAGUCACUGUGACUAAAGGAGUCUGCAUACUAGGUUCGGUUUGCUCCUAGCAGAACUCGGCUAGGCGAAGUAAACGUCUGUGCCUCGCAGACUCCCUUAAAAGACAUUUGCUUAAAAAACUAGACAAAAAUGGCAAUAGUAGUUUGACCCUUUUGAGACGCCUUAGCCACUUCUUCAAAAUAGUCUGAAUUAAUCUAAGAUAAAUUAAGAAAUCGGUCAUUCAUUUUCACAUUUUUGCCGAGGAGGUCUUAGUCGCGCAAUUUUACAUCUAAGAUGAUUGGUGCAGUAUUUCCCAAUGAAAAAAUGUGUUGAAUGACAGCACUUAAUUGAAGAAUCCCUACUGUUGACCAAUCAAAGGGGCGUAGACUUUGGCUACAUAAUUUCGGCUUGCCUCGACAAAAUGUUUUACAUGCCGAAAAAACCCUUGCUGAAGACCAAACGAACAAACAUCACAACCUAUCGUCAUAAUAUACGCACAAACUGUGAAAGUGAUUCCCAUGUGGACGCCUUUAGGCAUAGAGGAGUCAGGCAAGUUCAGACUGCCUGUUCCUCCUCACAAUGAAAAAUAAAAAGGUGACAUUCACAGGCCUGACCUGCAUGGAUGGCUGGGACAAUGAAGGUCAAGGAAGAGACAUACUCAUGUCCUGCCAUUUAACAGCACCUUUGAAACGGUGGUAUUUUCCUUCAUUUCUUUCCAGGGGGCAUCUCUCAAAGGGGAGACACUCUGGCAGUGGCCAUCUGUGUGUGUGUGUGUGUGUGUGUGUGUGUGUGUGUGUGUGUGUGUGUGUGUGUGUGUGUGUAUGUGUAUGUGUAUGUGUAUGUGUAUGUGUAUGUGUAUGUGUGUGUGUGUGUGUGUGUGUGUGUGUGUGUGUGUGUGUGUGUGUGUGUGUGUGGCUUUAACGAUCUGUGUUACCACCAUCUGACUCCACUUGUGAAACCUCUUCAUGUUCCACCCACUGAGUUUCCACUCCUCCAAAAUGUCCUUGAAGACCUCCACAACCAGAGAUACAUCCUAAAAGUGAAUAAAUGUGCUAGAUCCAUUUUUGUUAUGUUAUUGUUUAUCGUUCAUUCUGAUGAUCAUGGAAUUGUUAUUUUGGGGAUUUUCAAAUUGAAGUUUUGUUGUGGAAAUAAAAAAAAGGCAGCAUAGGAGGUCAUUGUGUAGAAUUCUGUAGAUUUGGCUUUGAUCAGAUAGAGCUGAUGCAACCAAAAUGUCACCACUCAUUCAGCGCGUCCACUGGAGAGGAGCUCUUUUCAUCUAACCUUUUAUCAACAAUACCACACUUUACGCCGUGACGGCAGUGGAAUUCCACAUUCAAUGAGCGCCGUUCUGCCCAUACCAAGCCCUUUUUUCAGCAUUCCCAAUGUGCUUUGAAGAACUGUUGCCCAGUUGGCAAAGAGAGAGUGGAUAUAAGCGCCUUGUUGACAAGAGGUGAGAAAAACAAAGUUAAUCAAACACUUCAGGGUGUGUAUGAUGUCAUGAGUCAUAAAAAAAAGGUUUGUUUUGCUGCUAGUUACAACACAGCGAGGCCGUUCAGACGAGGCUGUCCUGUGAUAUAUAAGGCUAGUUCAACUUUGGUCAUUGACACACCUCAUCUCACAACCCACAGUCUCUGUAUUUCUCCACUAGCCUCCUUCCCAAAGCUUUGUCACCUCUUCACAGGUGUCACCUCCCACUGGGUACAAACGGGUUGAAUCAAUGUAGUUUCAACGUAAUUUGUCAACGUAUUGUGACAUGGAAUCUAUGUGGUAAAUAUGUUGGAUUUGGAAAAAAGUGAUCAACUUAAACUGUUGUUUUGAGGGUUAUAUCCACAGGAUUAUGUCAUCAUGGUAGCAUCAUUGUCGACAAGUUAACAAAUGAUAUGUUGGAUUCACGUCUCCAUCUCAACUAAAAAUAAAAGUCAAAGAAUACGAUUAAGUCAGUGGCCCUGAUGGAACUAUCCAAGCAACAGAUACAGCUCCUUUAAAUGUUCAUAUUUGUUUGCGUUGUCAACCAAACACAAUUCAAUACUACUUUUGUAAGAGAGUCAAUAGCCUAAAGUUAAGGCUAUCUUACAAAAUAAUGUAACAGUAUUUAUCGAACCAUUCAAACGAGUAACACAUUCAUGGCCACAUCUUGAGGUUACGAUAACAAUAAAUGUCUUCUUAUGUAACCAUAGAAAGUGUGCAUAUUCGGGGUCGCAGGUCAAUUGCUAUGAUAAUCUGCAAUACGUCUUGAUCAUUUGGACCAUGUACUUUUAAUGUAAUCUCAACUGCUAUCCAGGUCAUUUGUUUGUGCUAUUAGAUGAGGUACAGUGAUAACACAUUAAGUUGUAUAAAUAAACAAAAUAUCAGACAUAGUAUUCU